rnacentral:rRNA from 1 species
UUAAGCUACUAAGAGCGUAGGGUGAAUGCCUUGGCACCAAGAGCCGAUGAAGGACGUGAUAAGCUGCGAAAAGCUGUGAGUAGGAGCAAAUAUCCAUUUAAUCACAGAUGUCCGAAUGAGGGAACUCAGGUCGUGGAAAAAGACGGCCUAUCUAUACAUGAGUAAAGUAGUGUAUAGAGGGGAACGUGGGGAACUGAAACAUCUAAGUACCCACAGGAAAAGAAAGAAAACUCGAUUCCUAAAGUAGUGGCGAGCGAAAUAGGAAGAGCCUAAACCAGAAGAAGUAAUUCAUCUGGGGUUAUGGACUACAUAAUUGAUUCAAGAGAUUUAGCAGAAUUGUUUGGAAAGACAGACCAAAGAUAGUGAAAGUCUAGUAUGCGAAAAAUCAAUUGACAUGGUAGUAUCCGGAGUAGUGCGAGACACGUGAAAUCUCGUAUGAAGAUGGGGGGACCACCCCCAAAGGCUAAAUACUACUUGGUGACCGAUAGUGAAGCAGUACCGUGAGGGAAAGGUGAAAAGAACCCCGGGAGGGGAGUGAAAAAGAACCUGAAACCCUAUGUUUACAAGCAGAUAGAGCACGUUAAGGUGCGAUAUCGUACUUUUUGUAGAACGGUCCGGCGAGUUAUUUUAUAUGGCAAGAUUAAGUACUUAAGGUACGAAGUCGAAGAGAAAUCGAGUCUGAAAAGGGCGAAAAAGUCAUAUGAAAUAGACCCGAAACCGAGUGACCUAUCCAUGGUCAGGAUGAAGCUUGAGUAAAAUCAAGUGGAGGUCCGAACUCAUAAGCGUUAAAAAGCUUCGGGAUGAACUGUGGAUAGCGGAGAAAUUCCAAUCGAACUCGGAGAUAGCUGGUUCUCCUCGAAAUAGUUUUAGGACUAGCCUUGUUAAGUAGUAUAUGGGGGUAGAGCACUGAAGGAGCUAGGGGCCAAACCAGGUUACUGAACUCUAUCAAACUCCGAAUACCAUAUACGUAAAAACAGGAGUCAGACUGCGGGAGCUAAGUUCCGUGGUCAAAAGGGAAAGAGCCCAGAUCGUCAAUUAAGGUCCCAAAGAUAUAGUUAAGUGGAAAACGAUGUGAUUUUGCGUAAACAACCAGGAUGUUGGCUUAGAAGCAGCCAUUCAUUUAAAGAGUGCGUAAUAGCUCACUGGUCGAGUGAAGUUGCGCGGAAAAUUACCGGGGCUAAACUAUACACCGAAAUUGCGGAUUCAUGAGUAAUCAUGAGUGGUAGAGGAGCAUUCUGUUGUAGGAAGAAGUGUGAUCGAAAGGACAUGUGGACGAAGCAGAAGAGAGAAUGCCGGAAUAAGUAGCGAAAGCAUGGUGAGAAUCCAUGCCAUCGAAAGUCUAAGGUUUCCUGGGGAAGGUUCGUCCGCCCAGGGUAAGUCGGGACCUAAGGUGAGGCCGAAAGGCGUAGCCGAUGGACAGCAGGUAGAAAUUCCUGCACUACCGAAAUACUUAAAAGAUGCAAGGGACACAGGAGUGGAAGGAAAGCGAGGAAGAGGAAAGACUCGUAUCGAAAGAUAUAGUGAAAAUUAAAGUAACGAAUUUCCAAGAAGCACACUGGCGAGAAAAGCUUGUAGAUAUUGUAUAGAGGUACCCGUACCGCAAACCGACACAGGUAGAUGAGGAGAGGAUCCUAAGAUGAGCGAGAGAAGCAUUGUUAAGGAACUCGGCAAACCAACCCCGUAACUUAGGGAGAAGGGGUGCCUAUGUAAAAAUAGGCCGCAGAGAAGAGGCCCAAGCAACUGUUUAACAAAAACACAGGUUUCUGCUAAAUCGAAAGAUGAAGUAUAGGAGCUGACGCCUGCCCAGUGCUGGAAGGUUAAGGGAAAAUGUAAGUACAGAAGUAUGAAGCAUAGAACCAAAGCCCCAGUGAACGGCGGCCGUAACUAUAACGGUCCUAAGGUAGCGAAAUUCCUUGUCAGGUAAG